rnacentral:rRNA from 1 species
GACGAACGCUGGCGGGAUGCCUUACACAUGCAAGUCGAACGAGUUGCGAACGGGUGAGUAACGCGUGGUAACCUGCCUCAUAGCGGGGGAUAACUACUGGAAACGGUAGCUAAUACCGCAUACCAUCGGAUGUGCCCAGAUGGGAUUUGCUAGUAGGUGGGGGAAUGGCUCACCUAGGCGACGAUCCCUAGCUGGUCUGAGAGGAUGACCAGCCACACUGGAACGGAGACACGGUCCAGACGCCUACGGGAGGCAGCAGUGGGGAAUAUUGCACAAUGGGCGCAAGCCUGAUGAAGCCAUGCCGCGUGUAUGAAGAAGGCCUUCGGGUUGUAAAGUACGUUCAGCGAGGAGGCGUUACUCGCAGAAGAAGCACCGGCUAACUCCGUGCCAGCAGCCGCGGUAAUAC